UCUGGGGCUCCCACAAUGCACUUCCCCUUGGCACCCCUCGCCCAGGUCUUCAUCAGAUUGAAUGCUGGAGCUCGGACUGAAGGACUGCUAUCAAAACACUAACUUUUCCUGUAUAACCUCAAGUCAGUCACUUAACUUCCCUGAACCUCAGUUUUCUUAUCUGUGAAAUGAGUGUUGUUUCAGCAGGCUCCUGAGGUCUCUUCUUCGUCUAGAUCUAUGAUCCUAGGAUAUCCAAUCAUCAAGGGCCCUGGAAAGCGAAGUCCAUUUUGGACUAUCCUUAUGUCUUAACUGGGAGUCAUCACCAUGUGGUCAUCACUACCACCUCCAUCAUCAAUGUCAUCAAUCAUAUCAGAAGCCUUAAAAGCCUUUCCUCCUCUGCAAGCAGCUGGGUGGUUCAGUAGAUUUCGAGCCAGACCCAGGUCCUGAGUUCAAAUUUGACCUCAGACACUCCCUAGCUGGAUGACCCUGGGCAAGUCACUUCACCCCCAUUGCCUAGCCCUGACUGUUCUGCCAUGGAACCAAGACACAAUAUUGAUUCUACGAUGGAAGAUUCCAGGAAAUGUUCACCCACUGAUCCCCAUUCAUCUGUGAGCAGAGAGACUAAGAAUGCCUCCUAGCCUUGCUCAGUGUCGGAACCCUGGCAUCAACACCUUCUUAAUAAUGUGGAGAACCCCCAGCCCCUUCCCAUGCAGCCUUCUAGAAUUCCUUACCUACUGUCCAAGAAGCUAGGAGGAAGAGGCCAAAGGACCCAGGAUCAUCAUGAAUCUGAAGUUGCGGGAUUCUUUUCCUGGGAACCUCUCACAAGUCCCCCAUUUCCAGGAGUUUCUGGAGAAGGUCUGUUACCUCUUGAACAGCCCAUUAGGGACCAAUAUCACCCUCCGAAGCCCAAGGUUACCUCAUCAUGUCACCUGCUAAAGCAGAUAAUGGCAGCAGUGAUACCCAUAACCAUACCCUAAACUUCUCCUCCCCUCAGAUGUCCAAACACCCAAAUGAUGGAGUUGAGGGCUAAUGCUUUGACUAGCCUUAAUAAAGAUGUGGAUAUUGACUUGAUUCUAUGUGUC
rnacentral:lncRNA from 1 species